GGUUAAGCGACUAAGCGUACACGGUGGAUGCCCUGGCAGUCAGAGGCGAUGAAGGACGUGCUAAUCUGCGAUAAGCGUCGGUGAGGUGAUAUGAACCGUUAUAACCGGCGAUUUCCGAAUGGGGAAACCCAGUGUGUUUCGACACACUAUCAUUAACUGAAUCCAUAGGUUAAUGAGGCGAACCGGGGGAACUGAAACAUCUAAGUACCCCGAGGAAAAGAAAUCAACCGAGAUUCCCCCAGUAGCGGCGAGCGAACGGGGAGGAGCCCAGAGCCUGAAUCAGUGUGUGUGUUAGUGGAAGCGUCUGGAAAGGCGCGCGAUACAGGGUGACAGCCCCGUACACAAAAAUGCACAUAUUGUGAGCUCGAUGAGUAGGGCGGGACACGUGGUAUCCUGUCUGAAUAUGGGGGGACCAUCCUCCAAGGCUAAAUACUCCUGACUGACCGAUAGUGAACCAGUACCGUGAGGGAAAGGCGAAAAGAACCCCGGCGAGGGGAGUGAAAAAGAACCUGAAACCGUGUACGUACAAGCAGUGGGAGCCUCUUAAUGGGGUGACUGCGUACCUUUUGUAUAAUGGGUCAGCGACUUAUAUUCUGUAGCAAGGUUAACCGAAUAGGGGAGCCGAAGGGAAACCGAGUCUUAACUGGGCGUUAAGUUGCAGGGUAUAGACCCGAA
rnacentral:rRNA from 1 species